UACGUAGGCAGCGAGCGUUGUUCGGAAUUACUGGGCGUAAAGAGUGUGUAGGCGGUGUUCCCAGUCUGUUGUGAAAUCUCCCGGCUUAACUGGGAGGGUGCAGCGGAAACUAGAAUGCUAGAGGGUGGGAGAGGUAAGCGGAAUUCCUGGUGUAGCGGUGAAAUGCGUAGAUAUCAGGAGGAACACCUGUGGUGUAGACAGCUUACUGGACCACUUCUGACGCUGAGACACGAAAGCUAGGGUAGCGAACGGG
rnacentral:rRNA from 1 species